rnacentral:rRNA from 1 species
GAUGAACGCUGGCGGCGUGCUUAAUACAUGCAAGUCGAACGGAAAGGCCCUGCUUUUGCGGGUUGCUCGAGUGGCGAACGGGUGAGUAACACGUGAGUAACCUGUCCCUGACUUUGGGAUAACUUCAGGAAACAGGGGCUAAUACCGGAUAGGAGCUCUUGCUGCAUGUGGGUGGUUGGACAGUUUCGGUGGUAGGGGAUGGAUUGGCGGCUUAUCAGCUGGUUUGUGCGGUAGUGGCUUACAAAGGCUAUGACGGGUAGCCGGCCUCGGAGGGUGACCGGCGUCAUAGCGACUGCGAGAGGGCGCAGGCUCCAAUGCGACGCAAAGGUGGGGAGUAGUGCAAAAUAAAGGGAAGCCAGAUGCAGCAGCGUCGCGAGCGGGAAGACGGCUUUAGGGUGAAAAACCGAUUUCGCCUGUGACGAACAGAUCGUGACGGUAAUGGGUAAAGAAGCCACGGCUAACUACGUG